AGGAAGAGGAGCUGAGAGCUUCAGGGAGGAGCUGAGCUGUUACUGAACUAUAGAAGAGACACAAACUUCCACAUUCAACACAGUUCAAACAUUAACUCUGAUCAUCAUGCUGUCUUUGCUCACAUCUGGAUUUACUCUGCUGGUUCUGCUUAUAGGAACAGGUGUAAACUGUCAAGAACUCACUGCAGCAAAGACUGAAGCGUUCAGUCUGGAAGGCAGCUCUGUUACUCUGUCCUACAGUUACUCCAAGAAAGCAGAUGGGAAUGAUUAUUUCUUCUGGUAUCGACAAUAUCCUGGACAACCUCCAGAGUUCCUGAUCUCUCACUUAGGAACAGGGGAUGAAAUCUCUCAGAAGGUUCCUGGUUUUUCCUUCAAAGUGAGUGAUGAUAAAACCCAGAUGGACCUGCUGAUCUCCUCUGCUGCAGUGACAGACUCUGCUGUUUACUACUGUGCUGUGCGGCCCACAGUGACAGGAAACACCAGAACUCUGUACAAGAACCUGUGA